UACGAAGGGGGCUAGCGUUGUUCGGAAUUACUGGGCGUAAAGGGCGCGUAGGCGGCGUGUCAAGUCAGGCGUGAAAGCCCGGGCUCAACCUGGGAACCGCGCUUGAGACUGGCAUGCUCGAGUUCGGGAGAGGAUGGUGGAAUUCCCAGUGUAGAGGUGAAAUUCGUAGAUAUUGGGAAGAACACCGAUGGCGAAGGCAGCCAUCUGGACCGACACUGACGCUGAGGCACGAAAGCGUGGGGAGCAAACAGG
rnacentral:rRNA from 1 species